UCCUACAUUCAACAAAAUAUAACAACUGAAACAAACAACAACUAAGUAGUAUGAAAUAUAAAAUAGCUAAUACAAAAUGAUCAGAUUAGGCAGCAUGGGUAUCGAGCUCAAGAUCAUAACAACUGAAAUAGAAUCAACCUCGACCUUGACUGGAUGGUCUGGUCCGAGUAAAAGAUGUUGGAGGACGGAAGGUAAUAGGCUGAACAAAAGUGAGCUCACUGG
rnacentral:lncRNA from 1 species